UGGGGAAUAUUGGACAAUGGGGGCAACCCUGAUCCAGCCAUGCCGCGUGAGUGAUGAAGGCCCUAGGGUUGUAAAGCUCUUUUGUGCGGGAAGAUAAUGACGGUACCGGGAGAAGAAGCUGCGGCUAACUACGUGCCAGCAGCCGCGGUAAUACGUAGGCAGCAAGCGUUGUUCGGAGUUACUGGGCGUAAAGAGUGCGUAGGCGGUUUUCUAAGUUCGGUGUGAAAUCUCCCGGCUUAACUGGGAGGGUGCGCCGAAGACUGGGAAGUUGGAGUGUGGGAAAGGCAGGCGGAAUUCCUGGUGUAGCGGUGAAAUGCGUAGAUAUCAGGAGGAACACCGGCGGUGUAGACGGCUUGCUAGACCAUAACUGACGCUGAGGCACGAAAGCGUGGGUAGCAAACA
rnacentral:rRNA from 1 species